rnacentral:rRNA from 1 species
UGCAAGUCGAACGAUGAACCACUUCGGUGGGGAUUAGUGGCGAACGGGUGAGUAACACGUGGGCAAUCUGCCCUUCACUCUGGGACAAGCCCUGGAAACGGGGUCUAAUACCGGAUAUGAGCCUGGGAGGCAUCUCCUGGGUUGUAAAGCUCCGGCGGUGAAGGAUGAGCCCGCGGCCUAUCAGCUUGUUGGUGAGGUAAUGGCUCACCAAGGCGACGACGGGUAGCCGGCCUGAGAGGGCGACCGGCCACACUGGGACUGAGACACGGCCCAGACUCCUACGGGAGGCAGCAGUGGGGAAUAUUGCACAAUGGGCGAAAGCCUGAUGCAGCGACGCCGCGUGAGGGAUGACGGCCUUCGGGUUGUAAACCUCUUUCAGCAGGGAAGAAGCGAAAGUGACGGUACCUGCAGAAGAAGCGCCGGCUAACUACGUGCCAGCAGCCGCGGUAAUACGUAGGGCGCAAGCGUUGUCCGGAAUUAUUGGGCGUAAAGAGAUCGUAGGCGGCUUGUCACGUCGAUUGUGAAAGCCCUACGCUUAACUUCUGGUCUGCUGUCAAUACGGGCUGGCCAGAGUGUGGUACGGGAGAU